GACAGAGGAUGCAAGCGUUAUCCGGAAUGAUUGGGCGUAAAGCGUCUGUAGGGGGCUUUUUAAGUCUGCCGUCAAAUCCCAGGGCUUAACCCUGGACAGGCGGUGGAAACUACCAAGCUGGAGUACGGUAGGGGCAGGGGGAAUUUCCGGUGGAGCGGUGAAAUGCGUAGAGAUCGGAAAGAACACCAACGGCGAAAGCACUCUGCUGGGCCGACACUGACACUGAGAGACGAAAGCUAGGGGAGCGAAUGGG
rnacentral:rRNA from 1 species